GGGGCGGGAAAGGGGGGGGCGAGGCGGGGGCGUGCGCCUUCCCCUCGCCUCAUGCCGUCGCCCGCAGUGGUGGUUACACUCCUCACAGUGCCCUCCCGCCCCUGGGAACGGGGCUAAGGCCGCCCCGCCCCUCAGGCGGCAUGGGCGGGGGGGGCAACGGCCGGGGACCUCGCGUGGGGCCCAGGCCGAGGGGCUGCACCUCGGGCGGACCCGGUGCCCUCCUGCCCCGUGUGUGUGGUGCCGCGGGCUGUAGGAAAGCUUUCUGCUCGGCACAGAGGGACAGAGUCUCGGAAAACGGGAAGAAAGGGAUAAGGGUGAUCCCUCUGAGGUGAAGGCGGUUCUUCCAUGCUGGCAGUAACGGAACGGGAGUGCGGUAGCGUGGGGCCAGCGUCACCCCACCUAGGAGCAGCACAAGGCAUCAGGAGGUGCUUCCAGAUCUACUGUGGACCUUUUGCACCAAGCAAGCUUGGGCUGUUUUUUCAUUUUCUUUUCCUCUCCUCUCAUUUGUCCCUCGGAUCUUGAAAGAGUCGGAUAAGGAAGUAGCUAAGGUUGGAUCUUAAUCUCAAGAACUUCCUUUAUAUUUCAUAAAGCGCUGGUGUUGAGCCAGAUUUCAAGAAAUCCAGCAGGGUGUCCGACACAGCCCUUCGCUGUUAACUCCACAAAUCAAACAGUACGAAAGAUAGUAAGGCAUCUGAUACAGAAACAUUUAUCAACUCUGUUAGUGUUGAUCAUCUCACAGGUGUUACAAAACAAUGAUGGCCUUAUUCAGUGAUGUUUACACAUAAAGGCGUAAAAGUAACUACAAAUCUGUAAUGCCUCUGCUGUUUGUAAUCAUUAAUCUUAGAAGUGCAAACCGGUCCCUAAGUCCUAUGAUCAAUGUCUUGUCACCUCCAGAAGCCUGACUUGGUGAUCCUUAUGGGCCCCUUCGAACUGGGGAUAUUCUAUGUGCAUUUCUGAUGGUCAAUGCUGUAUCUGCAGUAUCAUUUAAAUGUGUUACACAGACGGUUAUUUACUUUUGAAAGAUCAGGAAAGUUGUCAAAGUUUAGCCAUCGCGAUGUGGGAGUUUCCCAGUGCCUUUCAAAGAUUUGUACCAAAGAUCAAAAAACCCCUUGCUGUUAAUGAGAUCUGUGGAGGUGCUAAACUGUUACCUGGUGAACUGCUGUGAGAGCAACUGCAGCCUCAUCUGGUCUGCCUAGUAAAAUUAACACUUUCAAGCAGAUUGUACAGUCAAAUGCAUGUGUAUUUCCAAGCACUAUAUGCCAUGCUUCUGAAAUGAGAGCCUGUGUCUUGGAAAAGAUUGUCUAAAAGUUUCAGACAAACUUACAGAUAAGGUCCCAGCACAGGAUGUCUGAUAUGACUGUUGGAUGUACUAAUGGGAUUUGUAUACAGUAAAUCAAUUUACAUGUGUAUGAAUGAGUAAUACUAGAGGAACAUGUGUAGCUUUGACAUUAAAGGUGUUGUGUAAGAAAAUUCCCCCAGGAAUGGGAGGAGCUGAGCAUGAACCCUAGCACAGGGGCAGUCUCAUAGUAGGGCUUGAAUAGAGAAGGCAGGCUUGGGGUCUGCAAGCACACCAACUUGGCAUAUAGUAAACAGGAGGAUGGACGGUGGACUGGCAGGACAGAAUAAAGCAUGCUUAUCUGACAGUACUCCUUUCUGUACAGUGAACUGGAAAGCUUGCCUGGAUCCUUUCAGAGAUGCAUGAUGAAACUUGCUCCUGGAUGGUUAUUAUAUGACCCUGAGAAAACGGGGCUAAGACUGUGCAAGUGUGCAUAAAAAAAGAGCAGUAUUUUAAUAAUGCGUAUACUGGUUUGCAGAAGUUGGAUUUAGGCGGUUAGUUGUUCCAUAGCCCAAACACUUAGUCAAUAAGAAAUAUCAUUUUUUUUGUUCUUCUGAAUUAAUUAGAUGAUUGAAUGAAGUGUGUCUAUAGUAUUGAGGUCUGAUUGCUACUUUUUGUGCAAAUCACAAAAGAGCCCUAACCAUGAUGUUGCUGUCAAGGCACUCGUGUUAUAUAGCUCAUCUAAUAAGGACUUACAAGGACAUAGGAAGAGGUGACCAAUUUAUUGCAGGAUUUAUGGAACCUACCUUGCUUCACAGGAGGAGAAAAUGUGUAAUACAUUAUGUUGGAUGUAAGUGUAUUAUGAUACAAUUGGAAAAGGAAAUGUUGAAGCUGACUAUCAUGAGAAUAAAUUGCGGUAAGCUCUCAAAUAAUCUCCUCAGGGAAACUGUGGAACCUGAAACUAUUGAAAUGAGAUUGCACAAACAUCUAAGUGCCAUUCUACCCCAGUGCACAAAAGCUCUAAUUGGUCCUUUCUGUCACUCAUUCAGAUGAUUUAUAGGGAGCUGUGCAAACAAGAUGACUCACAUAUAAAAAGCACACAAAUAUUCAUUAUGAAAUAUGCCUCUGUGAACCCUGAAGUUGGAAUAUUCAAUAUUUAACAGCUGAAGUGGCUUUCUCUAAAAUAUAUCAAAUAAAUGUUCAUAAAAGAGCAAAUAUGUUGAUCACCACUAAACUUUAUUUAAAAAUAAUAAUAUAAUUUCACUCCCAGAAAAAGUCCUUGCUUUGAUUCUUAAGAUGGUCCUUGACUUUAAUGGCCAUUUGGUAAAAUCAGCUGAUAAAUAUUCAAGCACUCUUCUAUUACACCUCCACCCUCGAAACGUUUUUACAGUUGAUUUCACAUAUUCAGUUUGUUUUUCUUUACAGUUUUUUUUUCUUAUUUUUACCUCAUGAUUCCUCAUGCAAAUAUAUUCAACUUUAAAUCUAAAGGGAGAUUCAAAAUAUAUUUGAAAACCGAUGUAUUCUGUGAAAAGAAAAAUCAAAUAUAUUAAUGUGUCAUUACUAGCAGUAAUACAGAUUUUGUAACGAUAAUGUGCUCAUGUUUUUCUUCUGAUCUGUGAGGCAGUGUAGAAUCCACCUGGCUUUCUUGAAUCAAUGAAGAAUGCAGGACCUAGUGGCAGAUCUGUGGGAAGAACAGCGAUUUCUUGUUUUGAUAGUGCUGUAUAGUCUUAUAUUUGUCAGCCUGAAGAAAUUAGAAGAAUUUGUGACCAAGAAAAAAAAGCCCCAACCCCUUCCCUAUCCCACCCUCCAAAAACAAACAAGCAAAAAAAACCAACCCAAAAGAUCAGAUCUACUUCUAGAAUUAUUAGGAAAUGUAAUUUAAGAAAUAAUUGUUCACUUACUUUGACAUGUGUUCUCCAUCUCAAGAUUCCCAGUGUUGGUUUCAGUGAUUGAGAACAAACUCAUCGGUUCCCAUGAGAUGAAGUCUUCUGAGAGCUGAAGCAGAGGCAGACACACUAAGUGCCACAGAGCCUUUUCCAGGCACUAAGCAGUCCACAUUCAGUGCAUACGUCUUGAGAUCUUGAAAAAUUAGAGGCCUGGACAACUACCAACCACAUGAAUUUUAACAAGACAUGUCUUAGCCUGGACUUCAAUACGCUGUUCAUACAGAGGAGGAAACAUUGGCGUUCAAUAAAUGGUUUGGUCAAUAAAACUUCAUGAGUUUCAUUUAGAAACAAAAAGAAGACUGAAAGAACAGGGUGUGGCAAAUGCAACUGGUAUUGCACUGGAUGAUGAUUAGGCCAUCCAGGGAUGAAGUCUGUGAGAGACUGAGAAGGAGAUGCCAUAAUUACUCAAGAGCAUCCACAUCUUAUUUUAUUCCUCCCUCUGGUUCUUAGACUGUAUUUCAUUAAAUUCAAUAAACAAGCAGUUCAUUUAAGUGCUGCAUUUCAGUAGUGGCAGCAGUGAUGUGAAAGUCAAGGAAGUUCUGGACAGCCGUACACAGCUGUCACACCAUGAAAUGAGGAGUGUCUCAAUCAGCUCAUCUGUGAGAAUCAGUGGAUUGUGACCAGGGAAUAACAGCUUCAGUGCACUGGAAACGAUGGUGGCAAUGGUGGAAUAUCACAGAGUUUGUGCUACAUGGGUUCCACAAAUGCUCACGCAGGAAAAGAGGGAACACAGUAUGCAAGUUCCUCAGGACCUAUUGAACUGAUAUGAGGCUGAAGAUGACAGUUUCCCGGAUCUCAUCAUUGCCAGUGAUGAGCUGUGGUGUCUCAUCUCAAAACGGCAGUCCAUAAAGUAACAACAUAUGAAUUCCCCAUUACAGAAAAAGUUCCAGAUGCAGCCCUCAGUGGAUAAAAUGAUGUGCACUGCCUGUUGGGAUAAAAAACUAGUGAUCCUACUGUAUUUUCUGGAACCCAGACAAACCAUCGACUGAUCACUACAUUGCAACACUGAUUAAGCUGAAGGCCUAAAUUUCCAGUCAGUUUGAAGAAGAAUACAGCCUUUCUCUUGCAACACAAUAAGCUCAGGCUCCCUACCAGUUUGAAAAUCUGUACAUUGCCAGUCUUGGCUGGUCUGUUCUUCCACACCCUUUGCAUAGUCUGGAUUUGGCACCUUCUGACAUCCAUCUGUUUGAGCUGAUGAAAAAUAAACUGUGUGGGCAACAUUUUCCUAACAAUAAUGCCAUUAUAGCAGCUGUGAAGCAGUGGGUCACCUCUAAUGGUGCAGAUUUUUUUGAGCACAGAGUGGAGGCUCUUGUUCAUCACUGGUGAAAAUACGUAUUUAAUGGUGUUGACUACGUUGAAAAAUCAUGUUUUGUAACUGAGAAUUUGCUUUAUCAUAUAAUAGUGUUAUUGUGCUCUUUGUAUCAGUUGUAGAGUCCAUAGAAAUAUAUAGGAAGCAUCAUUUUUGGAGCAAUGUAUGUAGAUGGCCACACACGCAUGGUAUAUGAAGGUGAAAAUAUAGUGCAAAUAAUGUGUACCGGGUACAAAUUAAAGCAGCAAAUAUUUUCAUUGCUGAACUGUACUUGUAGACUUCUACAUCUAUGUUCAUUACUUUUUCACCUUCAUACUUCUCCCUCUUCUUUCUCUGAAUAUCUCAGCUGAAACUCUCACAGUAUGUUUCUAGUCCUAACAGGAAAGAGCAGUUAUAACCAAAGAAAACAGUCUCUGUCACUAACAGAAGACAAUCUUGCAAGGUAGGGAAUGAAAUCCUGAAAUUAUUUUCUGUAUCUUUUCUGGUAUGUGUGUUGUUAGCACGUAGAAUAUGCAUGCUCAUCAAAUUCUAUUCUUGAAAGAAGCAAUUUUCCUCAGUUCGUACUGAAAACCUAUGCCCAACUAUACAGCAGCAAAAGCUCCGUAAUAUUAUUGUGGUAAUUUCUGCAAGUCCGAAUACUAAGUACCAAGUCAACAUUUUCCAUAUUCCAGGUCAUAUUAUAUAAAUUGCAUAAGAACAUCUUAAGCUUUCUGCAGACUUUACACUUAUGCCAUUGUGCAAAUACGAAAAUAUCUUAUGAAAAUAUGUUUUGAAUUCCAGCACGUUUGAACUUUUAGUUUACACAUGUUUUUUUUCCACAUACUUCCUCUGAUUUCUCAUUUCUAAGUUGCAGUAUGUAUUUACAGAGGCUUUGUAUUAGGCAACCUUUAUUUAGAAAGCACUAGGUUGGCAUUAUUCAGGAGAUAAGUGAAGCGGUAUCGAAAAGAUUUAUUUUAGGAAGCUUUGUGCAUUAUUUGAAUAAUGAAAUAGUGGGAAAAAUAAUUUUGGAUGUUUCUGGUAAGGUGCAUCAAAUUCAUAUAAAUGAAUUCACUAGAAGCAGCGUAGGUAAAUUUAUUACCGUGAUCCAAUCACAUCAAAUACCACUUUGAACAAUCACAUGAAAUGCUUCACUUAAUUUUUCUGAGGUAGUAAAGUCUAUUAUUUAAUAUGUUUUAAAUAUUUAUUUACUGCAAGACAGUAGCAGUGGUUAAAUAGGCAAAACAUAACAUACAAACAUUUUAUGGUUUUGGAAAUGCAAACAGGAUGAGCUGCCAAGAGAUCCCUGGGCAAGAACGUCCAGACCCAAUCUGUUGCCUUCAGAGGCACAGUAUUACGGGAGGCAAAAGCACAGCCUGUAGUAAAAAUGAGACCAUAUGGGACUCAUAGUAGCAACAGUGGCUUUAUGCCCAGCUCAUGCCCCUGCCCUGGCAGCUGCAGCCCUCAAAUGAGACAGGGCAAGGCAGAAUCAGGCAACCACAUCUUUCUUACUUGUGUACCUAGCCCCACUCUGCUGGGAGAAGAGGGAGGCAAAGCAAGUACGUAAGUUGGAGCGAGAGAAAAAGAAGGCGAAUAUAUGUCAUGUGUAUAUAUAUAAAGAGAAUGGGGAGGUAUAUAUGUAUACAGAAUGGGGAUACACUGACCUCUCUCCAAACACAGAUGGAUGCACAGGUCUUCCCUGGGGUCAGUGAAAUCCAGGGAUCAAGCAAGUAAAAAUAUUACAUAUGGCUGUGCAACAAUUUGGCUUCCACAAAUAAGACCAACAAAGGGCUGCACAUGUUUAUGUGCUGGUCAGGGUAACCCAGAGGCCAGGCAGGGUGCAGGGAGAGCAGACGGCAUAGCCAGAAGCACAGAGUAAGACGAUAAAGAACUGCCAAAUACAGAUAUGUUGCUUCAGGAUGCGUCAUCAGCUGUGUCAUCCUGUGGAAUAACCCAUCUAAAUCUAAGCAUAUUAAGUUCUCCACUGAGUUUAUUAAUGUGGGCUAACACCAUCUGUUUGCGGACACAGCGCAUUAUAUCUCUCAUUAACAUGAUACAGUAGUUAAAUUUAGGCUCUUGGAUGAGCUGAGUAUCAUUUAACUGUUCUUACUCAUGCUCUGAAUGAUUCCUAGGCAUUGGAGAAUUGAGUGGUUAAUUAAUAUGGUUGAUUGUACUUAACUUUGCUACAGCUUUUCUUAAAUUCACCAUUAAAAAGACAAUUCUUUGAACAGAACAUUUUUCACUAGGGUAACAUUUAAAUGCAAAUGUUUUGCAGCAGUAAGCCAUGAUGAAAGACAAUAAAGGAUGGCAAAACAGAAUGUAUUAAUUUAAUGUGAAAAUUAAAAUUCUAUCAAGUAGUAGUAAUUACUUUGAAUGCCUUUUUCUAUACUGUUCUUGUACUCAGAUUUUAACACUUUCUUAUUGGCUUUUGCCAGAAGGUAAUUGAUUUUUUAUGUCGGUUAUGUAAGGUAUAAAAAGAUGGCACCAGGUAUCCACUUAACCUCUUAGCAGGAGCUCUCUAUUAUCAGCUCCUAUCUUGUAGUGUGCUGAUACUGGCUUGCUCAGGCUGUUUUCCCAGAGUUUUGGAGAUUUGGAAAUGACUAGUGAAAAGGAAAUAAUUAAACGUUCAAAGGCUUCCUUUCAGGUAAUCAUAUGUCUCUGGCUAGAAGUUUUUAGCAAAAAUAGGCAUCUUUCUAGACAGAAAAUGAAAUUAAUGCCGAAGUCACUGUCUGAGAUUUGGGGCAUAAGUUGUAGAAAUCAGCCUAGACAGUUGUGUAGUGGUUUGUUUGAAUGGCCAUUGCUCCAGAAGUGGUGGGCUUUACAUCUCUGGCUAAGAAGUUAAAAUAAUGAACUGCACAGGAGGCAUGCCAGUGGCUAGAGACUCUGGAAAUGGUCACAGUCAGCAUCGGAGAGAAGAAGCAAAACAUGACAGGAGCUGAGCAGAGAUGUAAUUCAGGGCUCAACUGCCCUAAAAGUCUAAAGUUCUGUAUCAGUAGUAUCAGUGAGCCUGUUUCCACAUGAAGCAUUUGUUAAGUCAGCAAAUUACAAUAACUUAAAAAAGGCAUUUCUCAGAAGACAGCCACCUUCACUGUAAAUAAUUCCCCCCUCUCAUUUUUUAACUGCUUGCCAGGAUUCUUCAGAGAAUGGGGGAAAAAUUUGUUUCUGUAACUUUUCCUCUUUUUUGCCAUCAGUUUUCUGCCUUCUGCCAUCUGAUACAAUGAAGAGAAUCUUCCAUACUGCUAUUCCCAAAGCAAGCCAUGAAAGAAGCCACAGAAUGCAUGGGGGAAACACUGCUGGCUUAACACUUGCCGUAGUGAUGAAUACUAAAUUCCUAGCCAUUGGUUUGUUUUUCAGGAUGCAAAAAUUAUGACUUGAUAGCAUCCCACUUAAGCAGAAGCUUUACAACUUCAUCACAUAUAUAAAAGUAUAUUAUACAGUUAUAGUUCCUAGAAUCAUAGAAUCACAGAACAUCCUGAGUUGGAAGAGACCCAUGAGAAUCACUGAGUCCAACUGGCUCCACACAGGACAACUCAAAAAUCAGGCCAUAUGGCUGAGAGCUUUGCCCAAAUGCUUCUUCAACUCCAGCAAGCGUGCGGCUGUAACCACUGCCCUGGAGAGCCUGUUCCAGUUCCCCAACACAUACUGGAGAAGAACCUUCUCCUGAUAUUCAACCCAAUCCUCCUCUGGGUAUCAGGAAAAGGUUUUUCAAAUAUAUUCAUGCACACACAUGCAUACACCGUAUUUUCAGUUCUUGGUCAAGUACUGUACAGGAACUGGCUAAAUAUACUAGAGACCACAGACGAAACCUGCAGGUUUUUUUUUCCCUUGUGAAAGCUUCAGGCCAAGUGAUCUGUGGUAUCUUGUGUUCUUCCAUGUACCUCCAAAUAUAUCUUACGCAGGCAUGAUGCUGUUCACUCAGUACUGCUGUUAGUGUUAUUUCCUGAUAGAAGAGUAUCAACUGCAUCGUAUUUUGCAAUAAAAACACAAUGAAAAGUUUUACAACAGACAUUUGGGCUUUUUUCAGUAUAUUUUGUUAGCCAGUCUUUAUAUAAUGCAACUUUUAAUUGUAAGCCACAGAAUGAACAACUUUUGGUUUCAAACUUUUUUCUUCAGAGGCUGAUAUUUUUUUUUA